rnacentral:tRNA from 1 species
GGAAUGGAUUUCCCGCUCUUAAAUGGCCAUUUGCGGGCCACAAACCGCUCUUAAUCAGCGGAUCCUAGGUUCGAGCCCUAGUGCGUCCACCA